UGAAUAAUUUCUAAAUUGUUUUCUUACUGAUACAGGUGAAAUUAUUCCAGCUUCAAGUUCAAGGAGUUGCUAUGUGGUUACUAGGGUGUUCUAAAUCAUUAGGUGUUUCCCAAAUCACGUAGGCUAUGUAUGCACUAUUCUAUGAUGUUUUGUAUUAUAAAUAGUGUAAGUAGUGCAUUCACACUGAAAAUUCCAAGAAGACCUGAAAGAUGCACUUAAAUAACUUAAAAAUAUUGGACAAAUCAUGCACUCAGCUGUCCCAGCUUUAAUUAUGUAGCGAAUGGGCAAGGGGCAAAAUUAAUCCGAUUAUGAACGGCAAAAUAACCUCAUGUAAUUCAUACACUACAUGGUUGACUGCAUACACUCUAAAAAACGCUGGGUUGUUUUUUCAACCCAACUGCUGGGUUGAGGCCGUUGGAUAGGACUUUGGGAUGUUUUAACCCAAGUUUGGGUUGAAAAUAACUCUCUUUUUUAACCCAGCGGGGUGGGUUGAGGACGAGGACGUGAAGGAGAGCACGCACGUCACGUCAAAAUCGUACGUCUCCAGUGCGAGCAGCCGCCAUUUUCUCAGCGUGAUAGAAGCGAGAAGCGAGUGAAACACUAUGACUUGUCCAGCUCCUGUCUUCAUUGUCCUCGCGCUGAGAAUUAAAGACACAGAAGCUGUUUGUGUGAGGAGUCACAGACCUGUGUGAGGAUGAGGAGGAGGUGUUCUUCUGAAGAGCGGGACAGACGGAGAAGACUAAAAUAAUGUGUGUGUUUUUUUUAGAUGUUGAAAUCCAGAGACAAGAUAACUUCAUUCUUUUGAGACUGAUAACUCAAACUAACUGGAGUUAAGGAGUUAAGGUGGUUUUCUCAGCUUCUUCUGAAGAGAGG